rnacentral:rRNA from 1 species
AAAUUUAGAGUUUGAUCCUGGCUCAGGACGAACGCUGGCGGCGUGCUUAACACAUGCAAGUCGAGCGAUGAAGCUUCCUUCGGGAAGUGGAUUAGCGGCGGACGGGUGAGUAACACGUGGGUAACCUGCCUCAAAGUGGGGGAUAGCCUUCCGAAAGGAAGAUUAAUACCGCAUAAUAUAAGAGAAUCGCAUGAUUUUUUUAUCAAAGAUUUAUUGCUUUGAGAUGGACCCGCGGCGCAUUAGCUAGUUGGUAAGGUAACGGCUUACCAAGGCAACGAUGCGUAGCCGACCUGAGAGGGUGAUC